rnacentral:rRNA from 1 species
GCUUGUCUCAAAGAUUAAGCCAUGCAUGUCUAAGUAUAAGCAUCUUAUACUGUGAAACUGCACAUGGCUCAUUAAAUCAGUUAUGGUUUAUUUGAUGGUACCUUACUACAUGGAUAACCGUAGUAAUUCUAGAGCUAAUACAUGCGUGAAAUCCUGACUCGUGAGGGAAAGGAUGUAUUUAUUAGAUUAAAAACCAAUGCACACUCUCGAGUGUGGUAUUGUGGUGAUUCAUAAUAACUUUUCGGACCGCAUGAUCUUGUAUCGGCGGUAGGUCAUUCAAAUUUCUGCCCUAUCAGCUUUCGAUGGUAGUGUAGUGGACUACCAUGGCUUUAACGGGUGACGGAGAAUUAGGGUUCGAUUCCGGAGAGGGAGCCUGAGAAAUGGCUACCACAUCCAAGGAAGGCAGCAGG